rnacentral:rRNA from 1 species
GUGCAGUGAAGGUUCUUCGGAAGAAGGGCUGGAGCGCCGGCUAGUGAGAAUGCAGACACGAGUAGCGAUAAACCAGAUGAGAAUUCUGGUCGCCGUAAACCCAAGGUUUCCUGGGCAAGGUUCGUCCCCCCAGGGUUAGUCGGGAGCUAAGACGAGGUCGUAAGACGUAGUCGAUGCCCAGCCGGUCAAUAUUCCGGCACCGAACCAGGUCAAACCACCGAUCACGCAGCGGGAAAAGCAGCACGAUCAUUGAAAGAUCGGGCCUAGGAGCAAUCCAAAGCAUGCUGCCGGACCUUCUGCCGAGAAAAGUUGGUGGCCCUUUCCUGGUCGCCCGUACCGUAAACCGACACAGGUGGGUGAGUGUAAGUGCACUCAGGCGCGCGAGAGAGACCUCUCUAAGGAACUCUGCACAUUAGCCCCGUAACUUCGGGAGAAGGGGUACUCACUUCGGUGAGUCACAGUAAAUUGCGUUUAGCGACUGUUUAACAAAAACACAGCACUCUGCCACGUCAUUAAGACUACGUAUAGGGUGUGACAAGUGACCAAUGCGGGAAGAUCAAGGCAAGGGGUUAGCCGCAAGGCGAAGCUCUGAACCAAAGUCCCCGUGAAUGUCGGCCGUAACUAUAACGGUCCUAAGGUAGCAAAAUUCCUUGUCGGGUAAGUUCCGACCUGCACGAAUCUUGUAACGACUGAACGACUGUCUCGGAGAGGUUCUCGGCGAAACUGUAAUUGCGGUGUAGAUGCCGCAUGCCCGCAGUAGGACGGAAAGACCCUAUGCACCUUUACUGUAAGCUCGUAUUGGCUUCUGGUUGGCAAUGCUUAGCGUAGGUGGGAGACUUUGAAGGCAUGGCUUCGGUUGUGCCUGAGUCGAAAUGUGAAACACCACUCUUUGCCCAUUAGGAGUCUAACCUCGAACCCAUUAGCUGGGCGGGGGACAGUGCGUGCAGGUCAGUUUGGCUGGGGCGGCUUCCUCCCAAAUGGUAACGGAGGAGCGCGAAGCUGGGCUCAGCAUGGUUGGCAACCAUGCGUCGAGCGUAUGGGUAGAAGCCCGGUUGACUGCGAGACCUACAAGUCGAGCAGAUGCGAAAGCAGGCCCAAAUGAUCCGAUGGUUGAAUGUGGAAUUGCCAUCGCUCAACGGACAAAAGGUACGCUAGGGAUAACAGGCUGAUCGGAUCCAAGAGUUCAUAUCGACGAUCCGGUUUGGCACCUCGAUGUCGGCUCAUCGCAUCCUGGGGCUGGAGAAGGUCCCAAGGGUCCGGCUGUUCGCCGGUUAAAGCGGUACGCGAGCUGGGUUCAGAACGUCGUGAGACAGUUCGGUCCAUAUCCACUGUGGGCGGAGGAAACUUGAGGGGUUCAUUCCUUAGUACGAGAGGACCGGGAAUGACGCACUUCUGGUGUGGCAGUUGUCCCGUCAGGGGCACCGCUGCGUAGCCAUGUGCGGAAGAGAUAAGCGCUGAAAGCAUCUAAGUGCCAAGCUCAUCCCAAGAUUAGGUUUCCCAGGGCGUAAGCCCUCUAAAGGUCUCAGGCAGACUACCUGAUUGAUAGGCUGGGCGUACAAGUGCUGUGAAGCACGAGCGGACCAGUA